AUUGAACGCUGGCGGCAGGCCUAACACAUGCAAGUCGAACGGUAACAGGAAACAGCUUGCUGUUUCGCUGACGAGUGGCGGACGGGUGAGUAAUGUCUGGGAAACUGCCUGAUGGAGGGGGAUAACUACUGGAAACGGUAGCUAAUACCGCAUAACGUCGCAAGACCAAAGAGGGGGACCUUCGGGCCUCUUGCCAUCGGAUGUGCCCAGAUGGGAUUAGCUAGUAGGUGGGGUAACGGCUCACCUAGGCGACGAUCCCUAGCUGGUCUGAGAGGAUGACCAGCCACACUGGAACUGAGACACGGUCCAGACUCCUACGGGAGGCAGCAGUGGGGAAUAUUGCACAAUGGGCGCAAGCCUGAUGCAGCCAUGCCGCGUGUAUGAAGAAGGCCUUUGGGUUGUAAAGUACUUUCAGCGGGGAGGAAGGGAGUAAAGUUAAUACCUUUACUCAUUGACGUUACCCGCAGAAGAAGCACCGGCUAACUCCGUG
rnacentral:rRNA from 1 species